rnacentral:rRNA from 1 species
UACGAAGGCAGCAGUGGGGAAUAUUGCACAAUGGGCGCAAGCCUGAUGCAGCCAUGCCGCGUGUAUGAAGAAGGCCUUCGGGUUGUAAAGUACUUUCAGUCGUGAGGAAGGUGUUAAGGUUAAUAACCUUAGCAAUUGACGUUAGCGACAGAAGAAGCACCGGCUAACUCCGUGCCAGCAGCCGCGGUAAUACGGAGGGUGCGAGCGUUAAUCGGAAUUACUGGGCGUAAAGGGCACGCAGGCGGUUAAUUAAGUUGGAUGUGAAAUCCCCGGGCUUAACCUGGGAAUGGCAUUCAAGACUGGUUAGCUAGAGUCUUGUAGAGGGGGUAGAAUUCCAUGUGUAGCGGUGAAAUGCGUAGAGAUGUGGAGGAAUACCGGUGGCGAAGGCGGCCCCUGGGACAAAGGCUGACGCUCAUGUGCGAAAGCGUGGGGAGCAAACAGGGAUUAGAUACC